ACCAGGAUCUGUGUUCCAAACUGUCACGUAGAGCGGGGACAUUCAAUCCCUCACCGACAACAAGACAGCACAACAAAACAGCCGCCUUUGUCCUUGUAUUCAGAGAUUCCUGGGAAUAAAAGAUCAGCAACGAAAAGAGUCACGAUACGGGCCUGUGAAAUAUAAACACUUCUAUCCAAAGACAGGACUUGCAGGCUGACAACAGACACAGCCAGCCUCUCCAUUCCUCCUGAGACAAAAGGGCACUUCCAUUCUACCAGCAUAUGCGUGUGUGUGUGUGUCUUUCAUGCUUGUGUGUUCUUUUGGCUCCUGUUCCUGAUGGGCCCCAGAUGGGUACGCAGGCAGGCAGCUCUGCCUUUUGGCUUUGACAUGUGAACGAGUAGCAAGUCGGCCCAGGGUCACUGAACUGCACCUUUCCUCCUCGUCCUCCCACUGUCAUCCCAACUCCCCAAGAGCCACAGGCACUCGCACAAAUCCAACCGUUCUCUCUUUUCUUAGGCUUGUGAUUGCAAAUGCAAAGCCUUGCCUUGUUUUUUUGCAAUGUGGAUUGGCCUGUUAGAAUUGUGCUUGAGUAUUUCUGGUAAAAAGAAAUCUGUCAUAAUGGCCUGCUCUCCAGCUCCUGCGUCCGUCUCACAUGUCGCUGAAUUGCAUCAAACUACCUCGAAAAUGAAUGAAGUGGAGUCCUUGUAUGAAGGCCCCUUUGAAGCCGGGCUGCCCACAACAGCUCGAACAAAACCUACACCCAUCACACACUCCUCGUCAGCACAGCAAACAGCACCUCCGCAAAUAUCCUCCUUCAUCCUUGUAACAAACGUGCGCGCACACACGUGCCUUUCAACACAACACAAGGCAGAAAAACACGACACAAUAUGCUAUGUGGAAGUCUGCAUGUUCUGAUAUAUGAGUGAUGAGGAGGAUUUCCAUCAGCCUAUUUUAGGCACAUUGGAUGGUGACAGAAGAUUUGGAAUUUUUCUCCAGGGGAGGUGGAAAAGUCGCAGUACGUAUGAAAGGUAAAUGCAAAUAAGUCCGACGUGUGAUCACAUGACCGAAACGUCCCUUCUGCUGUCACAAUUUGGUUCUCUGGAAAAAUAGAGAGAGAUUGUGGGAAGAGCAUGCGAGAGGAGGUCUGUGCGGAGUAGACUGACGAGGAAACUACAACGUGCCUGGACUUUGUGCAACAAACAAAUAUAACUUCAAUCAAGGUUGGAAACAGCAACAAAACGCCCCCAUGUGUCAAUAGCUACUGGCACCAUUUAGUGACAUUAUUAUCCUUCUAUAGUGGCUCUGACUUUCAUGCCAUCGAACACAUAUUUCUGCCAAUAUUCACACAACAGCGGUGGAUGGAAAAUAAAAAAACACCUACUGACGCUCUCACCAGACAAUUGUCGCAUUUAAAUUUCCAUCGCUGCAAUGUGGACAAAACUGAAGCUGUAAUUUUAACAAUAUUUUAGAUGACAAGAGCGUUUGUCCCUGUCGUGAUUUGACAAUAUAGCAGUGGCUGUGGAGCAAAUUAAAGGCAAAAGUGUAAACAGCAAGCUGACAGUAAAGCCCACAUUUAAAACACUUAAGUAUUUUUCAUUUAAACAAUCCCUCAGACAGUCUUGUUUUCCAAGUUGUAUAAACACAGGACCUGUAUUUCAACCGUGCCAGCCUUUUUCCCCCAGUGUUUUUAGCUGCAUGGGAAACAUUUCAACGUUUCAGGAGAACGCUGUUGUGCUGACUGUUGCGGAUUGGGCAAACACAAGACUCCAUAGUGAGUUCCUAAGUAAGUAAGCAAGCAGUAACUGCCUAGAUAAUGGGACUCUGGGUGGAAAAAAAAUAACUUUAUUAGGUAAGGUACUGUCUGCCAAAGAAAUAAGCCGCAUGUUUUUAAUUCAUUAACAGCUGUUUCUGCAAAAAUGUAUCCCGCUGCACAUACUGUAUACAUGCAAAUUAUACAGUCCAUGAGUCUGCGGCUCAUAUUAAAUUUAAGAAUCUUCCAACUACUAGACUCAAAUGUAGUUUUGCAGGUGCAUCCUGUUUCCUCACUUUACAUGACUUGAUUAGUGUGAAUGCAAAUAUGUCUUUGAUUGAAAGAAACUGAGCUUUAUUUAUGUCUGAACCUCAGAGAUAAACUUGAGCAAACGUGAGUUGUGGCAUCUCCUGUGGGCCGUAAGUAUCAAAAGAAGAGGGCUGGCGAGCACAGGAAAAAGGGAGAAUACAUAUUCAUGUUAUGCUCUGUGUGCAAAAUAAUUGGCAAUAAAAGAACACCUGGUUUGAAGAGUGA